UGCACUUCUCAAUCAUAGCCGAAGAUCAAAAUAUGUUCUCCAUGUAGUUCUCCAUACGGUUCUAUAAACAUGCGCUUCUUGGCCAUGACCAAGGAUCGAAACAUGUUCUCUAUGCAGUUCUCCAUAUGAUUCUCCAAACACGUGCUCCUCGACCACGAUCGAUGAUUGUUCUCCAUGCAGUUCUCCAACCACGUGCUCCUCGACCACAGC
rnacentral:lncRNA from 1 species